AUGAACGCUAGCGGCAGGCUUAACACAUGCAAGUCGAGGGGCAGCGCGGGAUAGCAAUAUCCUGGCGGCGACCGGCGGAAGGGUGCGUAACGCGUGAGCGACAUGCCCGUUGCCCGGGGACAACCGGUGGAAACGCCGACUAAUCCCCGAUGGGAUACGAUGCUUCAUGGCAUUGUAUUGAAAGUUACGGCGGCGACGGAUUGGCUCGCGUCCGAUUAGCUGGUUGGCGGGGUAACGGCCCACCAAGGCUGCGAUCGGUAGGGGUUCUGAGAGGAAGGCCCCCCACAAUGGGACUGAGACACGGCCCAUACUCCUACGGGAGGCAGCAGUGAGGAAUAUUGGUCAAUGGGCGGAAGCCUGAACCAGCCAUGCCGCGUGCGGGAAGGAGGCCCUAUGGGCUGUGAACCGCUUUUGCCUGGGGGCAAUAAGGGCGUCGCGCACGUCCGAUGAGAGUACCAGGCGAAUAAGCAUCGGCUAACUCCGUG
rnacentral:rRNA from 1 species